rnacentral:rRNA from 1 species
UACGGAGGUGCAAGCGUUAAUCGGAAUUACUGGCGUAAAGCGCACGUAGGUGGUUUUCUAAGUCAGCUGUGAAAUCCCCGGGCUCAACCUGGGACUUGCAGUUGAAACUGGAAAGCUAGAGUAGGGUAGAGGGGUGUGGAAUUCCAGGUGUAGGCGGUGAAAAUGCGUAGAUAUCUGGAGGAACAUCGAGUGGCGAAAGGCGGAAGCAACCCCUCGG